AUAUCACAAUGAUGAUUUAUUUACAUAUGUUAGACUAAUGAAAUAAUUUGAUUGUAAAUUCAUAACUGAUGCAAU